rnacentral:rRNA from 1 species
GAACUCGUAGAUAAUAUAAAGCCAAUAUGCAAAGCGGUCAAAGUAGGAGUCGCAGGUACUAAUUAUGAUGUUCAUGGGAAUGUAGCCAGGGAUCGUCAACAAACCUUAGCUAUUCAUUGAAUCCUUGGAGCAGCUUUCAAACGACGUAUAAGCUACAUGAUAAGCUUAGAGAAAUGUUCAUUUGCUGAGAUACUGGAUGCUUACCGAAAGAGAGGAAUUUCAUGUAAGAGAAGGGAGAAUCUUCAUGGACUGGCUUCCACCAAUCGGAGUUACGCGCAUUUCAGAUGGUGGUAA